GUGAAGCGAAAGAAGGAGAGAAGUUCGGCAGUCCCCGGGGCACGGACGGACUCGACCCCAGUGGGUUGGAUUGAUCUCAACUCCCCUUGCACGCUGGUCUUUGCAGGGAACAAACUUGU
rnacentral:ncRNA from 1 species